UACGUAGGGUGCAAGCGUUGUCCGGAAUUAUUGGGCGUAAAGAGCUCGUAGGCGGUCUGUCGCGUCUGGUGUGAAAAUCCAGGCUUAACCCUGGACCUGCAUCGGGUACGGGCAGACUAGAGGUCGGUAGGGGAGUGUGGAAUUCCUGGUGGAGCGGUGAAAUGCGCAGAUAUCAGGAGGAACACCCGUAGCGAAGGCGGCACUCUGGGCCGAUUCUGACACUGAGGAGCGAAAGCGUGGGGAGCGAACAGG
rnacentral:rRNA from 1 species